CAGUUAUAAUCUGCUCGAUUGUGAAGGUUAUUGGAUAACCGUGGGAAAUCUAGAGCUAAUACAUGCACCGCGGGUGUGCGGUUCGCCGUGCACCUUUGCAUUUAUUAGAGCGAUACCAACCGUGUGAGCAAUCACACGUGGUGAAUCUAGAUAACUGUGCAGAUCGUAUGGCCUUGAGCUGACGACAUUUCGAUUGAAUUUCUGCCCUAUCAACUUGUUGAGAGUGUAGUGUACUCCCAAAGUGUUUACGGGUAACGGGGGAUCAGGGUUCGAUUCCGGAGAGGGAGCCUGAGAAACGGCUACCACAUCCAAGGAAGGCAGCAGGCGCGCAAAUUACCCAAUCCAGACAAUGGGAGGUGGUGACGAAAAGUACCAGAUGGCGGCCUUUGGUUGCCAAUUUGGAAUGAAAACAAUUUAAGCAAUUGAAUUGAGUAACGACUGGAGGGCAAGUCUGGUGCCAGCAGCCGCGGUAAUUCCAGCUCCAGUAGCGUAUCUCAAAGUUGCUGCGCUUAAAACGCUCGUAGUUGGAUCACGCACUGCAUGUCGGUGGACAUUGGCGGUGCCGCUAGAGACUCUCAUCGUUCGGAUGCUGUGCUCUCACAGUACUCUGGAGUUGAGAGAGCGCGUCGCCAGUGUUAUUAGCCGGCAUGCAGUAAUUGCACGUGAGGAUGGCCGUUGAUCUUUAGUGAAUCGACAGUCGUGUCUCACGGGGUGUGCCUUGAGUAAAUCAGAGUGCUUAAAGCAGGCUUUACGCUUGAAUGUUGAUAGCAUGGAACGAACAAUCGUGUAUGGUGUGUAUUGAAUUUGGUGCGGUGGAGUUUACUCCCCGCACUACAAUACACGACACCGACCGCCAAUUACGGAUGUUGGUUCCGUAUUGGGGUACUGAUUAAGAGGAGCGGUUGGGGGCAUUGGUAUUUGGCAGCGAGAGGUGAAAUUCUUGGACCUGCCAAGGACUAACAAAUGCGAAGGCAUCUGUCCAGACCGUAUCCAUUAAUCAAGAACGAUAGUGAGAGGUUCGAAGACGAUCAGAUACCGUCCUAGUUCUCACUGUAAACUAUGCCGACCCGGGAUCAGUUUGGAGCUAAGUAUCCACGCUCGGAGUUGGUCCCCCUGGGAAACCUGAAGUUUUUCGGUUGCGGGGGGAGUAUGGUCGCAAGGCUGAAACUUAAAGGAAUUGACGGAAGGGCACCACCAGGGGUGGAGCCUGCGGCUUAAUUUGACUCAACACGGGAAAACUUACCUGGUCCGGACAUCAAAAGGAUAGACAGACUAAAAGAUCUUUCUUGAUAUGGUGAUUGGUGGUGCAUGGCCGUUCUUAGUUCGUGGAGUGAUCUGUCAGGCCAAUUCCGGUAACGAACGAGACCACAAUCUCCAUUUGACGAGCCGGAGAAGGCAUCCAUCUCGUCAAUAAUUGGCAACAAUUGUAGAUUUGACGGAUGUUACAGGCAGCUUAGGCUUUUGAUGCAUCCCUGUCGCUUAAGUGGCAACAUGGCGGCGGCAUGGAUGCAGCUUCCGGCUUAAUCUCCCUCCGGCCAAACAGUGGAUGGUUCAUCUGAAUCAUUUGCUGUAUCAUGGAGAGACAACGGAAUAUAUUACAAAAUCCGAGGAAGUGUGGCUAUAACAGGUCUGUGAUGCCCUUAGAUGUUCAGGGCUGCACGCGCGCUACAAUGGCGGUGACAACGAGUUUCUGGAUCGAAAGAUUCGGGUAACCUUGCAAUCAUCGCCGUGAUGGGGAUUGACGUUUGUAAAUACGUCAUGAAAGAGGAAUCCCUAGUACGCGCGGUUCAUGAAAUCGCGCGGAUUUAGUCCCUGCCCUUUGUACACACCGCCCGUCGCUACUACCGAGUGAAUGGUGCCAUAAUGCCUUGGGAGCGGAUUUCGUGCUGAGCCUU
rnacentral:rRNA from 1 species